UACAGAGGUCUCGAGCGUUAGGCGGAAUCACUGGGCUUAAAGCGUGUGUAGGCGGAUCGGUAAGUACCUUGUGAAAUCCCACAGCUUAACUGUGGAACUGCUCGGUAUACUGCCAGUCUUGAGCCAGCUAGGGGCUACCGGAACAAAUGGUGGAGCGGUGAAAUGCGUAGAUAUUGGAAGGAACACCGGAGGCGAAAGCGGUGUACUGGGGCUGGUCUGACGCUGAGGCACGAAAGCCAGGGGAGCGAACGGG
rnacentral:rRNA from 1 species